ensembl:antisense Gm16118 predicted gene 16118
GGAAAACAGCAUCCAAGAUGGAGCUGUACAGAGGGAAGGGAGCAGCUGACACCUCCACACCGUCUCCCAUUAAAUACCAGCUCAUUUAAACAUAUCCCGUGGUGCCCUCCACAUCUGGGUUGAACUACAGCUGCCUGGUGUCGGCUUGCUGAAAGGACUGGAUUGUAGCUGUUGGUUCGCGCCUGGUGUCUGCCCGUCUAGAGGACUGGUCUGCAGCUGCUGAAUCAUAUUUGAUGUUUGCUAUGGGACUGAACUGCUGCCCAAGAAGAUCAAGCUGAACAGAAACUGGGAACAGAAGACCGGAGCUUGCAAGUUGGCGAUGAGCACAGCCCAGCAUCUGACCAGCCGGUGGUAUCUCUACACCAUUGCCCUUUGGCCACAAAAAGAAAACCUGAGUCUGUGACUGCUUGUCUUUUAGAUGCUUUGAGGCAGAGUGACCAUGGUGACCUUCAGUGGCCGUGGGUCCUCUUCUAGGCACCGUUGGUCAUGCCGUGUUCCCAAGCAUGGAAACCUACUGGAGACCUUAGUCUGGAUGCACAGCGGAUGUGGGGGACACAUUAGCUCUCCCAUUUCCAUUCUCAUCAUUAAUGUUUAAUUGCACAACACCAGAGGCAGGCUAUGUACCUAGCACCGAAACCUUGUCACCUCUAUUAAUUAAAACAGGCUUAUGGAAUAUGAAA